AGAGUUUGAUCAUGGCUCAGGAUGAACGCUGGCGGCACGCCUAACACAUGCAAGUCGAACGGGGUUAGUUGGAAUGAAGUUUUCGGACGGAAUGAAGAUUAACUUAGUGGCGGACGGGUGAGUAACACGUGAGCAAUCUGCCUUUCAGAGGGGGAUACCGUUUGGAAACGAACGUUAAUACCGCAUAAUGCAGCGAAGCCGCAUGACUUUGUUGCCAAAGAUUUAUCGCUGGAAGAUGAGCUCGCGUCUGAUUAGAUAGUUGGUGAGGUAACGGCCCACCAAGUCAACGAUCAGUAGCCGGACUGAGAGGUUGAACGGCCACAUUGGGACUGAGACACGGCCCAGACUCCUACGGGAGGCAGCAGUGGGGAAUAUCGCACGAUGGAGGAAACUCUGAUGCAGCGAUGCCGCGUGAGGGAAGAAGGUUUUCGGAUUGUAAACCUCUGUCUUUGGGGACGAUAAUGACGGUACCCAAGGAGGAAGCUCCGGCUAACUACGUGCCAGCAGCCGCGGUAAUACGUAGGGAGCAAGCGUUAUCCGGAAUUACUGGGUGUAAAGGGAGUGUAGGCGGGACAGCAAGUCAGAUGUGAAAAUCAUGGGCUCAACUCAUGACCUGCAUUUGAAACUAUUGUUCUUGAGUGAAGUAGAGGUAAGCGGAAUUCCUAGUGUAGCGGUGAAAUGCGUAGAUAUUAGGAGGAACAUCAGUGGCGAAGGCGGCUUACUGGGCUUUUACUGACGCUGAGGCUCGAAAGCGUGGGGAGCAAACAGGAUUAGAUACCCUGGUAGUCCACGCUGUAAAC
rnacentral:rRNA from 1 species